rnacentral:lncRNA from 13 species
UGAUAUAAUCUGGUAAUUUCUACAAGAUUUCUGAUUCGUCCGUUUUUGAACAGACGUAUUGGUUGAAUCUACCAGAUUUCUAAAUGACGCAAUAAGACUUUUUCCAGUGCGUGAUUUAUUUCUCUUUAAUUCAUAUAUGUUUAUAAAAGACUUACUAAAGUGAAUCGAACACGUACGUAUUCAGUAUCUUGAUUCUUCAUCAAAAAGAAACGCAAAUUCAUCACCAACCGCGCAUUUUUCUGAGCGGUAGGGUGAUAGGCCGGUAGUAUAUAAAACAGCGGUAAGCAUCCAGCAUCUCUCCAUUGCGGUAGUGCAGUUGUUACAGUUGCUUGCGAUUAAGCAAAAGUGAAUUAUCAUAUCUACGCUCUGAUACAACUUAUCGUUUUGCAAAGGAUAUUCACUUGAUGCUACCGUAGAUCCUGUACUAUAAUGGAUACCAAAUAGAUCGAAGGAAAUUGAUUAAUAUCAUUAUAAAAUUAUGACCGAAGUUUCAGGAGAUCCAAUUAAAAUGAAGUUAAUUAUUCUGCUGUUACUGCUAGUCAGUUCUGUUGUUUGUGUACCCUGGCUCGACCUGUGGUUUCCUCAGCAGUUUUCGUAUAGCAAUCGAAAUACCGGAUAUUAUGCAAACAUACCAUCGUAUCGUCAAAAUAGAGGAGGUGGCAAAGAGCGCUGGAAGCAGAUCUGCAGGACUAUAAACCCGGAUGCAUAUGCAUUCCCAGGACGCGUGCCUUAUCCCGCUGCACCUGCCUGUCCCUGGUAAGGGAAACUCACAGUUAUAUUUCCGAUCUGUUGUGCCAAAUAAACGCAAGCGAAAACGUAUAUCGUGCGUUAAAAAUAUAAAUUUAUUGUAACAAUGUAGUUUUAGACAGUGUAUGUCCACCGGUUACGAGUAUUUCAGUCAAUAUGGUUACGUGUACGUAAUGUGUCCGUAUUUGACAAUACUAGCAAACUAGUAUACAUAAAUAUUUGUGAUUACAUAUAACUACGUACUGUAAAGUAUUACGAAUUGAGGAGAUAAAUGCUGCGUAUUGCAUCUUUCAUACGCAAACCUUAUUACUCCUCAUUUUUCGAUCCGUAUUCGCAUUUAUUAAAUUUAAAAUAAAAAAA